rnacentral:tRNA from 1 species
CAAAAUGUAGCUUAACCUAAAAGCGUCUGGCUUACACCCAGAAAAUAUCGCUCGACGAUCGUUUUGA